rnacentral:rRNA from 1 species
UUGGGUUUAAGGGUCCGUAGGCGGAUCUGUAAGUCAGUGGUGAAAUCUCACAGCUUAACUGUGAAACUGCCAUUGAUACUGCAGGGCUUGAGUGUUGUUGAAGUAGCUGGAAUAAGUAGUGUAGCGGUGAAAUGCAUAGAUAUUACUUAGAACACCAAUUGCGAAGGCAGGUUACUAAGCAACAACUGACGCUGAUGGACGAAAGCGUGGGGAGCGAACAGGAUUAGAUACCCUGGUAGUCCACGCCGUAAACGAUGCUAACUCGUUUUUGGAGCGCAAGCUUCACAGACUAAGCGAAAGUGAUAAGUUAGCCACCUGGGGAGUACGAACGCAAGUUUGAAACUCAAAGGAAUUGACGGGGGCCCGCACAAGCGGUGGAUUAUGUGGUUUAAUUCGAUGAUACGCGAGGAACCUUACCAAGGCUUAAAUGGGAAAUGACAGGUUUAGAAAUAGACUUUUCUUCGGACAUUUUUCAAGGUGCUGCAUGGUUGUCGUCAGCUCGUGCCGUGAGGUGUUAGGUUAAGUCCUGCAACGAGCGCAACCCCUGUCACUAGUUGCCAUCAUUAAGUUGGGGACUCUAGUGAGACUGCCUACGCAAGUAGAGAGGAAAGUGGGGAUGACAUCAAAUCAUCACGGCCCUUACGCCUUGGGCCACACACGUAAUACAAUGGCCGGUACAGAGGGCAGCUACACUGCGAAGUGAUGCAAAUCUCGAAAGCCGGUCUCAGUUCGGAUUGGAGUCUGCAACUCGACUCU